rnacentral:lncRNA from 1 species
GCCUGGGGUGGGCGAAGCCGGGCUCUGAGCUGUGUUAAUGCAUUAACUUAGAGUCCGCAUAUCACAGUAGAGUGCUGUUUAUAAGAAACCAAAAUGUUUUUAAAGUUGUGCUAAAAAUAAGUUAACAUUGCAGCAGAUGUUUUUCUCCAUCAGAUAUUUCCCUCCAUGGUGGUCUGGCAGACGUGGGCCGGGCAUGGGCAGCUGUCACCCAGCCCCUGGGGACUUAGAGCUGCGGGGCACGGUGGGGCGGGCUGCAGGGAGCAGACCCUGCUGGGCCGCUGAUCCCUGACCCAGCAUCCCCACUGUCCCCGCCAGGUGGUGGCCUCUGCCAUCCCCGACGACCAGGGCUGGGGCGUCCGCCCUCAGCAGCCACAGGGACCAGGAGCGAACCAUGAUGCCAGGUCCCUAAUCAUGGACUCCCCAAGAGCUGGCACCCACCAGGGCCCCCUAGAUGCAGAGACAGAGGUCGGUGCUGACCGCUGCACGUCGACUGCCUACCAGGAGCAGGUGCGUGGGCCUGGGCCUCUUCCCCUGCUGGGGGUCGGUGCUUCUGCUGCCUCCGCAGACUGGGGACCACAAUGGGACCAACAUGAGGUGGACAGAGCUGGACAGAGCAGCUCACUGGGGGGUAGACAGGGCCGGGCUCACCCGUGGUCCUGGCCCAGCCCAGCCAGAUGGGAGGAUGCCUGGCUGUGCCCGAGGCGAGUGGGCAUCGGCCAUCAGGACAGGAGAGAGGUGGUGUCCAGUGGAGACAUCCACG